CCUACGGGAGGCAGCAGUGGGGAAUAUUGCACAAUGGGGGAAACUCUGAUGCAGCAACGCCGCGUGAGUGAUGACGGCCUUCGGGUUGUAAAGCUCUGUCUUCAGGGACGAUAAUGACGGUACCCAAGGAGGAAGCCACGGCUAACUACGUGCCAGCAGCCGCGGUAAUACGUAGGGGGCGAGCGUUGUCCGGCAUUACUGGGGGUAAAGGGAGCGUAGGCGGACGUUUAAGUAUGAUGUGAAAUACUCCGGCUCAAAUUGAUUGCUGCAUUUCAAACUGGAAGUCUAGAGUGCAGUAGAGGAGAAUGGAAUUCCUAGUGUAGCGGUGAAAUGCGUAGAGAUUAGGAAGAACACCAGUGGCGAAGGCGAUUCUCUGGGCUGUAACUGACGCUGAGGCUCGAAAGCGUGGGGAGCAAACAGGAUUAGAUACCCGAGUAGUC
rnacentral:rRNA from 1 species